rnacentral:rRNA from 1 species
GACAGAGGGGGCAAGCGUUGUCCGGAUUUACUGGGCGUACAGCGCGCGCAGGCGGCUACGUAUGUGACUGGUGACAGCCUCCCGCUCAACGGGAGAAGGCCCGGUUACACAGCGUAGCUGGAGGCAGGGAGAGGGAUGUGGAAUACCCGGUGGAGCGGUGAAAUGCGUAGAGAUCGGGUGGAACACCAGUGGCGAAGGCGGCAUCCUGGCCCUGACCUGACGCUGAGGCGCGAGAGCGUGGGGAGCAAACGGG